rnacentral:rRNA from 1 species
UACGUAGGGUGCGAGCGUUAAUCGGAAUUACUGGGCGUAAAGCGUGCGCAGGCGGUCUGUUAAGACAGAUGUGAAAUCCCCGGGCUUAACCUGGGAACUGCAUUUGUGACUGGCAGGCUAGAGUAUGGCAGAGGGGGGUAGAAUUCCACGUGUAGCAGUGAAAUGCGUAGAGAUGUGGAGGAAUACCGAUGGCGAAGGCAGCCCCUGGGCCAAUACUGACGCUCAUGCACGAAAGCGUGGGGAGCAAACAGG